rnacentral:sRNA from 1 species
GUCAACUACCCCCGCCUAAAGAGGCGGGGGCUUGAAGCUGCAGAGCUUUAAGCCCAGGUUGACUAGCCUAAGUCCCGCAGGGGACUGCGCUUAUCAGGAAACAGGCACCGCGGAAUGUUGAUCCAAGUUUCGCGCUCUGC